CGUAGGGGGCAAGCGUUGUCCGGAUUUAUUGGGCGUAAAGAGCGUGUAGGCGGCCAUUCAGGUCAGCUGUGAAAACUCGAGGCUCAACCUCGAGACGUCGGUUGAAACCGUUUGGCUAGAGUCCGGAAGAGGAGAGUGGAAUUCCCGGUGUAGCGGUGAAAUGCGCAGAUAUCGGGAAGAACACCCGUGGCGAAGGCGGCUCUCUGGGACGGUACUGACGCUGAGACGCGAAAGCGUGGGGAGCAAACAGGAUUAGAUACCCUGGUAGUCCACGCCGUAAACGAUGGGCACUAGGUGUGGCGGGUAUCGACUCCCGCUGUGCCGAAGCUAACGCAUUAAGUGCCCCGCCUGGGGAGUACGGCCGCAAGGCUA
rnacentral:rRNA from 1 species